rnacentral:rRNA from 1 species
UGAGUAACACGUAAGUAAUCUACCUUCGAGUGGGGAAUAACGUCCGGAAACGGACGCUAAUACCGCAUAAUGCAGCGGCACCUAAUGGUGGCAGUUGUUAAAGUAUUUAUACGUCUGAAGAGGAGCUUGCGGCAGAUUAGCUAGUUGGUAAGGUAACGGCUUACCAAGGCGACGAUCUGUAUCCGACCUGAGAGGGUGGUCGGACACACUGACACUGAAUAACGGGUCAG